UAGCAAGACAUUUUCCGGUUUCAGGUCACAGUGGACAAUGUUCUUGAAGUGAAGAUGACGCAGAGCCACCAGAAUCUGAAAUCAAGACACCAAAACACAACAGGGCGUUAAAGAAACAAAGAUUAGAGAAAGCCGUCCCUUCUCACUGGACAGAAUCAUUUCCAACAUGUCUCCGUGGAGUUUCUCCAUGACCACAAACACUCGCUCCGGGGUCUCGAACAUGCAGUCCAGGUUUACCACGCCUGGAUGGUGUAGACUCUAAGCAGCAGCUUCUGUAGUUUGAGCAACGCUGAGAUACUUCAUGGAUGUCACACCCCCACAGCGUUGCCAAGAUAAUGGCGUCGUUCUCGACAGGAAGUCUCACUCAAGCCGCCAGGUUGUUGAGCUGCACAACUGUGACUACGUAUGUGUGUGCAGGGUGAAUUGCAGCUGCAGCACCUUCUUAGGGAUCCAUAAUCUGGUUUUAAGGAGUUAAUCAGGGGGCACUAAGAGCACAGUGGGCUUAAGGCUGACACUGAAUCAGCUGAGCUGGAGUCUCACUCACUGUGUCCGCUGUUGUGGGAACUGUGGGAAAUUCCUGUGGAAACAGCUGGCAUCAGAGCAUGUUGUAUGGCCAUCUCCCACAUCCGAGCCACAUCCUGGCCAAUGCCACUGACCUGGAAUCAGCCAAUUAAAAUACACCAAACUCACAAUAACUGCACUGACUGAAUGGAUAAUCUUGGGUAAAAAUGCUGAAGAUGAACUGAAGCUAACAUUCAGGAUGACGAUUGAUGAUGGAUGACAUUGACGAAUCAAAACAUCACAGAUGAGAACUUCAUCCGCAGCCCAGUUGUUUGUCCUUAUCUGUGAUUGGCUGUAGUGUUAAGUGGCAGAAUGGACGGUUUCUGCUAAAGUCAAUGAAGUGCUUUCAAGACAGGUACAAUGAAAAGAUGGACGAAGAGAAGGAUAUUAACUUUGACUUAAAAGAAAACCAUUCAACUCAUUUAAGUCGGUGCUGUGCAACCAACAUGAAACAGAACAGAUUUUUUUUUUAUCAACAAAUAAAUAUAGAUUAAAUAUAUCGUUAAAUCUCUAAAAAGAAGUUACAUGAAGAUGAUGGGUUGGCCUUAGCUGGUUAUAUAGCUGGUCUUAUAUUCAUAGUAGCUGCUAUAGUAGGGUGGCUUUGGAAGAAUAACUUAGAGUAAGGCAACAACCAAAGCAAAAAAAAAAAACAGUCAAACUGCCUAAAACUAACCAAGAACAGUACCUGAAAAAUACCAGAAACACAAACACUGUUAUUCCCAGGGAUGCACAUAACUGGUACACAAGGACACACGCACUGCUAAAAUCACUAAUGCGUAACAUCACUACGGUCACCACUGCAGAUGCAGUUAUACUAUUUUUGUGAUUGUGAUGGAGUAAACUGACUGAUGGAGAAAUUGUAGAAUCCAGAAGAGAAAUCCAACAGUUACUUUGGCGUUUCGUCACCGAUAAAGAAAUGAGUAACAGCCCGAGAAGAAAAGAGUUUUUCUGAAAGAUGCCUUCAAGAUGUAUCCACUCAUAUGGUGGUGCAAGAACUGCUGAAAAGAGCAAGAGCAAUAGCAAGCUAUUGUUAAUACAGAAGCAGCUGUGUGAUGGACAGCUCCACACACAGCUGAACAUGUUCCCUGUCUACCUACACUCCACCUUCACUGAUGAUGGAGACCAUUGCUAACAGUUGAGUACCAGGUUUGAGUUGGCUGGAGAUUGGUCAGAGGGACUGUGUCCAGCAACAGAGACUGUAGACAGGACUUUUCCGCCUGGUUGAACUGGCUGCUGACUGAACCACGCAGGACACCACAGAGGGACAGAGAAGCGUCUUCACCACGCAGGUCUGGAUGACUGGGAGUGUGUACAACAGCAUGGUGCCAAAACUACAGCAACAGGUUGGGACAAUCCCUGUUGUGAGACCUUCAGAGGCUCGGGAUGAAGAGAAUAAGAGAUUUCUUGACAGUCUUUUCAUAGAGUAUGACAAAAGUUCAGAUCUCAUCUGUCUCAGCCCUGAUGCACAGGUCACCCUGUCACCCUGUCUAAGAAGACCACAGAGCCAACAGUUGACCUGUGGAUGGAGUCAGCCAAUAGAAGACUCAACCCAAAGACACGGAUGUGAAUUUGCAGCAUCUACAUCAUCUACCAUGCAGGAAGUUGAAGUAGAGGACAGCGAUGAAGACAACGAGGAGGACUUUACUUAAGACCUACAGUAUGUAUGGGAUGGCGUCACCUUCUACUGUCUCCUGCAAACCUCACCAGAAUACAACUGCUGCUCACAGACGACUCCGCCCUCUGCAGGUUCUCACCCACGUAGUACACCA